UGUUGAUGGUGAUGAUGAUGAUGAUGAUGAUAAUGAUAACAACACACUUAACAAUGUAGUUAGUGUGAUGAAUGUUAAUCUCAUCAUUAUAAUCAUCAUUAUCAUCACGAUUU
rnacentral:miRNA from 1 species